UACGGGGGGGGUAAGCGUUGUUCGGAUUCAUUGGGCGUAAAGGGUGCGUAGGCGGCGCGGUAAGUCGGGUGUGAAAUCUUGGAGCUUAACUCCGAAACUGCAUUCGAUACUGCCGUGCUUGAGGACUGGAGAGGAGACUGGAAUUUACGGUGUAGCGGUGAAAUGCGUAGAUAUCGUAAGGAAGACCAGUGGCGAAGGCGGGUCUCUGGACAGUUCCUGACGCUGAGGCACGAAGGCCAGGGGAGCAAACGGG
rnacentral:rRNA from 1 species